GCUGGGGUCUGACCCAGCUGGAUGCAAUGCAGGGGCGACAGGCCGUUUGGGAGACUAUUUCUCCCCAGAAUGAGCAGGACUGGCCUGGGAGAGCAGGGCCAGUCAUGGUCUCUGCACACAAAGGAGCUACAGUCCUGAGCAAAGCUCCUGGAAUGAACACGUGGAGAGCAAGUUAGAGUGGAGGUGAGAGGACGCGGGCUGCCUGCCAUCUUGUGAAAGGAAGGGGGAACGGCCAGGCUUACCCAGCUCCCUUCAGAGAACUCCGAUGAGAACAGAAAAACAAAACUCCACCAUCUCCUGCAAGUACUGGGAAAGCUCCCUUCACAUUCAGGACUCAAAAUUCAUGGGACACUUGCCAGGUGGGACUCCAGGAUCUGCACUACUGGGGCAGUGUCCAAGUCUAGACCUGUCCCUACUCACAGUGGUGGACGGAGAAGACAGUCAGAUCCCAGAUCUGUGUUGGAUUCAAGUACCAGCAGGCAGUAGGAUUGGGGCAGUCUCCAGUUUUGCAGCUUUCAAAGGGAGGUGUGUGAGAGAUCAAGACAUAAGAACCCAUAUCACUUGGCCCUUUCUCCACCUUGCUGUCUUCCCAGUGCCAUCUUGCUUUAAGGUAAUACUCUGGUAG
ensembl:lincRNA